rnacentral:rRNA from 1 species
UACAGAGGUCCCAAGCGUUUGUUCGGAUUCACUGGGCGUAAAGGGUGCGCAGGUGGCUUGGUAAGUUUGAUGUGAAAGCUCAGGGCUCAACCCUGAAAUGGCAUUGAAUACUAUCGGGCGUUGAGGUUUGGAGGGGGGACUGGAAUUCUCGGUGUAGCAGUGAAAUGCGUAGAUAUCGAGAGGAACACCAGUGGCGAAGGCGAGUCCCUGGACAACACCUGACACUGAGGCACGAAAGCCAGGGGAGCAAACGGG